UGGGGAAUAUUGCACAAUGGGGGAAACCCUGAUGCAGCGACGCCGCGUGGAGGAAGAAGGUCUUCGGAUUGUAAACUCCUGUUGUUGAGGAAGAUAAUGACGGUACUCAACAAGGAAGUGACGGCUAACUACGUGCCAGCAGCCGCGGUAAAACGUAGGUCACAAGCGUUGUCCGGAAUUACUGGGUGUAAAGGGAGCGUAGGCGGCAUGGUAAGCCAGAUGUGAAAGCCUUGGGCUUAACCCGAGGAUUGCAUUUGGAACUAUCAAGCUAGAGUACAGGAGAGGAAAGCGGAAUUCCUAGUGUAGCGGUGAAAUGCGUAGAUAUUAGGAAGAACACCAGUGGCGAAGGCGGCUUUCUGGACUGAAACUGACGCUGAGGCUCGAAAGCGUGGGGAGCAAACAGGAUUAGAUACCCUGGUAGUCCACGCCGUAAACGAUGAGUGCUAGGUGUCGGGGAGGAAUCCUCGGUGCCGCAGCUAACGCAAUAAGCACUCCACCUGGGGAGUACGACCGCAAGGUUGAAACUCAAAGGAAUUGACGGGGGCCCGCACAAGCGGUGGAGCAUGUGGUUUAAUUCGAAGCAACGCGAAGAACCUUACCAAGGCUUGACAUCCCGAUGACCGUCCUAGAGAUAGGACUUCUCUUCGGAGCAUCGGUGACAGGUGGUGCAUGGUUGUCGUCAGCUCGUGUCGUGAGAUGUUGGGUUAAGUCCCGCAACGAGCGCAACCCUUAUCUUCAGUAGCCAUCAUUCAGUUGGGCACUCUGGAGAGACUGCCGUGGAUAACACGGAGGAAGGUGGGGAUGACGUCAAAUCAUCAUGCCCCUUAUAUCUUGGGCUACACACGUGCUACAAUGGCUGGUAACAAAGUGACGCAAGACGGCGACGUUAAGCAAAUCACAAAAACCCAGUCCCAGUUCGGAUUGUAGUCUGCAACUCGACUACAUGAAGCUGGAAUCGCUAGUAAUCGCGAAUCAGCAUGUCGCGGUGAAUACGUUCCC
rnacentral:rRNA from 1 species